AAAUUAAAUUAUUAAUAGUUAAUAAAUCCUUUUAUCAGUGUAAUAAUUGCAGUUUUGUUUUUUAGUUAAACGAAUCAACAACAAGAAUAAUAGCCUCCCGUAACUCCGAAAGUAACCACUGCGAACGCUUCAGUCGAUUUCAUUUCCCCUACCAUGGCUUCACUCAGAGCGAAUAGUUAUAAUUGUUGUAAUUUGUAUUGUGCACUGUCGUUCUCAAAACGAAUAAAAAAUGUCAAGGGGAGAAAAAGUUUUCGGUUAUUUACAAAAAUACAUAUGUUAAUAAAUGGGAGAGAAAUCAUAAACUUAAUGGUAUAUAUGAAUUCCUAUUAUAUUUAUUUGACUCAAUUGGAGUCUUCAGGUUAAAAAUUUUAGUUAUGAGUAUUUUGAUCUCAUAAAAGUUUGAACUGAAUCGAUCUUAUGAAUGCGAAAAAACUAGAUGUAAAAGAAAAGUGAUUUACGAUACAGUUAUCUAUAAACAACCAUAGAUUAAAUUGCGAAGAAAAUUGAGAUAUAAUAUGGUGUAUAUAGUUACUCGCUCACUGUUAUUAAGCCCACGAGUUCAUAAUUUGUCUCCACAGGAAGGUGUUAUUCAUAACGAUAGGACGUAAUCCUCCAACGAUGACGAAAUACUUUUAUGUUAAACAUACAUAUAGCUGAUUUAAGAAAAAAAAACCUUAAACAAACUGUUCAAACUACCAAUUAGAUAAUUCCUGUUGUAAUAAAGGAGUCAAGUCAUUAGUGAAUUAAAAUCAGGAAAUAUUUCAUAAUAAGAUGGAAGCCAUUUCAUUUACUAAGCUGUAUUCAUAAAUAAACAAUUUAGUUAAAAUAGAAGUAAAUAUAUCUUACAUGACAUGUCAUGUCUGCAGAGAUCUUCAAAAAUCAUUAAAAAUUUUGUCUGAAAAUUUUUUUCAUAAAAAAAUAUACAGAUAAAUAUGAAUUCUAUUCAUCUUUAAAACUUCUAUAAAAAUAUGCGUUGGCCAGCAUUAAAAGUUAUGUAAAUCUCCACCCUCAGUUAAAGAAAUUAACGCUUCAAGAAAUUUAAUCUACCGUUCAAGAAAACGUGUUGAACCUGAACCACCCGAGACCAUUAAUCUACUUCCUGAUAUAAUAAAUGAGUACAAGUUUCUUGAAAAUUACUAUCUGGGUAACACAACAGCCAGUGAUGGUUCCGUGGCGUUAUUUUUUACAAGUUUGGACAUGCUAAAUGCCUUAAAUGCUGUGGAGGAGAUAAAUGUGGCUGCAUCAUACGUGUCUGUUCCACAAACUCCGAGUUUUUCUCAACUAUUAUCUUUUCAUAUAAAAAAAGAUAACCAAAGCAUUCCGGCAUUAUUCGUCAUAUGCAGCGCAAACACUCUCAAUAAUUAUGAAGCUAUGUGGGAUUUUCUUCAUUCGAAAAUUGAAAAUUUUGGAACCAGAUUGAAAUCUAUAGUGUGUAGCUAUGAAAAUGAUUUUGUUACUGCCACAAGAAACAAAUUACCAAAUGUAUCCAUAAAAGGAUCAUGGUUUCAUUUCAUGAAAUUAUGGACUCGGCAGUGGAGGAGUUUAAACUUACCUAUCGAACCACUUCCUGCAAUUUUAAAAGCCUCCUGGGCGUUACCUUUGCUUCCCUCAAACAAAUUGGCCGAAGGAAUCAAAGUUAUUGAAUUUUUGACUAAUUGUAAUGAACAGUAUAAUGCACACUUAGUUACGUUUGUGUCAGCUGUAAAGUCAUGGUGUACACGUCUCUCUAAUGAAAUAUCAUAUAUCGAUAACACUGAAGAAGGAGCGAUAAACAUUGCAGAGGAUUUUUUACGUCACAUUUUAAAUUUGAUUGGAUACAAAAAAAGUUUACAUACUUAUCUUGGUAAAAGACCAAGUUAUGGAUACUUGCAAUUUUAUUUGAACUAAAAAAAAAGCAACUGUAAUAAGAUUGUGGAGAUCAAUGAAUUUAGAAUUCAAUUUAUUGAACGACGUAUUGCGUUAUUGUUGGGCCAUACCUCUGUUACCAAAAAAUAAGUUUAAAGAAGCUGUGCAAGAAAUUCAGGCUACUAUUCAUGAUACUGCUGAGUGUUAUGAUGACGAUGAACAUGAUCUACAUUCAUUUGUGGAAAAAGUAGAUGAUUGGUUCUCACAAGAUGAUGUGCAAUAUAAUUUCAAUGAAAAUCCAAAUGAAGCAAUUAACAUUGUUGAAAAUUUUACUCGUCACAUGGUCAGCAAUCUUGGGGGUCACAAACCUAAUAUAUUCUGUUACUUGGAACGUAUAAGAAGAAUUAAUAUUGAUAGUUUGAACCAUUUGAAAAAACUGAACGAUGGGGCGCUGCUACUUGAACUAGAAAAAUAUCGUUACAUUCAAAUUAAUAACCAUAUAGCUGAUAAACUUUCAAGGCUUAACUCUGGUGAGCUGACGUUGCUCGAUUUUUUACAAACAGCUAUUGACGCUAAUUUGAAUGACGAAAUUAUCCAUCAGCUCAAUUCAAUCCAAUAUCUAAAUGAUGAUAAAAAAUUAAAAGACAAUUAAUUAUUUAAUAAGUAAUAAAU
rnacentral:misc_RNA from 1 species